rnacentral:lncRNA from 1 species
CCUGCCCUGAUCCGCUCUUCGCAGCUCUAAAGUUUUAGGGACAAUUUGUUCAGUGAAGCUUCUCAGACAAUAGAAAGUUCUGAGGUUUCCUGGACGUUGCGUUCGGGAGGCGGGGCCGGGACCCGCUGACGGCAGUUUCCCAGCCCUGUUCCCCCUCCCCUGCCCCCUCAGCCUGCGGGCAGCAGAAGGCGGCGGCCAGCCUCCUCCUGCCCCUCGGCCGGACGAACCGCGGCUGCCGCGCCUGUCACCUCUGCACCUGCCCGGCUGAGGUGAGAUGCCUGGCGCGCAAGAGACCUUGACCAUUCAGGCAAUCCCUUGCAGAUAAAGGAGAGGAGGCUACCGGACAGCCACAUGGAUUAAGCUUCAAGAAGCCAGGGAGAUCCCGGGAGAGUUAUGGAUUGGGGACAAGAGAUGCAGCAGGAAGGAUGCGUGUUGAUUUCUGCAGACCUUGGGGGCAAUUGAGUGGGGCCAGGAUGUUUCCUCACAUGCCUGUGUGUGACGCUGUGUACCCACGUAUGUGUUGUUUCCACAUUCUUGUUUGAUUCUAGAAAGGUACAUGGAUACAACGCGUGUGGGUGUACGAAGUGUAUGCAUGCUUAUGUGUGCUGCCGGAUAAACAUAUGGCUUUGUGUAGUCACACAUGAUACGUGCAUGACGCUUGUACUUAGCUUCCUAUAAAAAGUAUAUGGUAGUUGCUGAUGUA